rnacentral:sRNA from 1 species
GCGAGAGAACGUUGCCGCAGGCAACGGCCCGAAGGGCGAGGAGCGAUAGCGACGAGUUAUCCUUCCCCCACCACCA